rnacentral:rRNA from 1 species
CCCUUAGAUGUUCUGGGCCGCACGCGCGCUACACUGAUGCAUUCAACGAGCCUAUCCUUGACCGACAGGUCCGGGUAAUCUUUGAAUCUGCAUCGUGACGGGGAUAGAUUAUUACAAUUAUUAAUCUUCAACGAGGAAUGCCUAGUAGGCGCAAGUCAUCAGCUUGCGUCGAUUACGUCCCUGCCCUUUGUACACACCGCCCGUCGCUCCUACCGAUUGGGUGUGCUGGUGAAAUGUUCGGAUCGGCCGUUUGUCGCGGUUUCCGCGUCAUGUGGCUGAGAAGUUCAUUAAACCCUCCCACCUAGAGGAAGGAGAAGUCGUAACA